rnacentral:rRNA from 1 species
GUGCCCGCAGCCGCGGUAAUACGGAGGGUGCAAGCGUUGUCCGGAUUCACUGGGUUUAAAGGGUGCGCAGGCGGUCAGGUAAGUCCGUGGUGAAAGACUCCGGCUCAACCGGAGAAUUGCCAUUGAAACUACUUGACUUGAGUGUAGUUGAGGCAAGCGGAAUGUAGCAUGUAGCGGUGAAAUGCAUAGAUAUGCUACAGAACACCGAUUGCGAAAGCAGCUUGCUAGACUACGACUGACGCUGAGGCACGAAGGCGUGGGUAGCAAACAGGAUUAGAUACCCCGGUAGUCC